AUGAAAAAUUGCUCGAAAAUAUGUACAUGGUUAAUGAUUUGGGCUUUAAGCCAACUAAACGACUCUUUUACCAGGCUUAAACCGAAGCUAAGCCUCUCCAUUCAUUUCCCUCCCUCUUUAUCAUCAUUACCCGUUUCCACUUUCACCGAAAAGUUUUCAUUUUUACACUCAAAACUUCAAACACCAACCUUCAUCUUCAUUGUUCUUCCCUCUUUGUUUGAAGCUUCCGAGGUGGCAAAAGAUGAUCUGAUCCUGAAAAAUAACUAA